GUUUCCAUCCCCGUGAGGGGUAAUUGAUUGAAAAC
rfam:Tolypothrix sp. PCC 7601 strain TTEX B 481 genomic scaffold FDTTEX481_Contig0, whole genome shotgun sequence.